rnacentral:rRNA from 1 species
UACGGGGGGGGCAAGCGUUGUUCGGAAUUACUGGGCGUAAAGGGCUCGUAGGCGGCCAACUAAGUCAGACGUGAAAUCCCUCGGCUUAACCGGGGAACUGCGUCUGAUACUGGAUGGCUUGAGUUCGGGAGAGGGAUGCGGAAUUCCAGGUGUAGCGGUGAAAUGCUUAGAUAUGACAUAGAACACCAAUUGCGAAGGCAGCUUGCUACAGGGAUAUUGACACUGAGGCACGAAAGCGUGGGGAUCAAACAGG